UCGGCGAGCGGCAGCCGGCGCUCCGGGAUCUCGAGAUAGUCGCGGCUCUCGCGAUCUUUCCGAAGCAGCCCCCUCCACGCGGAGUCCGAGCGCGUGUGCUGAGGGCCGGAGGGCGGAGACUGUGCGGGAGGGAGAAAGCCCCUUUGGCCUGCUCUACGGAAGCCUGCGAGGGAGGGUGGUGUCCACUGCCCAUUUCUGUGUCCUGAUGCCCAGCGCCAACGCCAGCCGCAAGAGUCAGGAGAAGCCGCGGGAGAUCAUGGACGCGGCGGAAGAUUAUGCUAAAGAGAGAUAUGGAAUAUCUUCAAUGAUACAAUCACAAGAAAAACCAGAUCGAGUUUUGGUUCGGGUUAGAGACUUGACUGCACAAAGAGCUGAUGAAGUUGUUUGGAUACGUGCAAGAGUUCACACGAGCAGAGCUAAAGGGAAACAGUGCUUCUUAGUCCUACGUCAGCAGCAGUUUAACGUCCAGGCUCUUGUGGCAGUGGGAGACCAUGCAAGCAAGCAGAUGGUUAAAUUUGCUGCCAACAUCAACAAAGAGAGCAUCGUGGAUGUAGAAGGUGUUGUAAGAACAGUUAAUCAGAAAAUUGGAAGUUGUACACAGCAAGAUGUUGAGUUACAUGUUCAGAAGAUUUAUGUGAUCAGUUUGGCUGAACCUCGCCUGCCCCUGCAGCUGGAUGAUGCCAUCCGGCCUGAGGCAGAAGGAGAAGAGGAAGGAAGAGCUACCGUUAACCAGGAUACAAGAUUAGACAACAGAGUCAUUGAUCUUAGGACAUCAACUAGUCAAGCAGUCUUCCGUCUCCAGUCUGGCAUCUGCCAUCUCUUCCGAGAAACUUUAAUUAACAAAGGUUUUGUGGAAAUCCAAACUCCUAAAAUUAUUUCAGCUGCCAGUGAAGGAGGAGCCAACGUAUUUACUGUGUCAUAUUUUAAAAAUAAUGCAUAUCUGGCUCAGUCCCCACAACUGUAUAAGCAGAUGUGUAUUUGUGCUGAUUUUGAGAAGGUUUUCUGUAUUGGACCAGUAUUCAGAGCUGAAGACUCUAAUACCCACAGACAUCUAACGGAAUUUGUUGGUUUGGAUAUUGAAAUGGCUUUUAAUUACCAUUACCAUGAAGUCGUAGAAGAAAUUGCUGACACUUUGGUACAGAUAUUCAAAGGACUUCAAGAAAGGUUUCAAACUGAAAUUCAGACGGUGAAUAAACAGUUUCCAUGUGAACCAUUCAAAUUUUUGGAGCCCACUUUAAGACUGGAGUAUUGUGAAGCAUUGGCUAUGCUCAGGGAAGCUGGAGUCGAAAUGGGAGAUGAAGAGGAUCUGAGUACACCAAAUGAGAAACUGUUGGGUCGUUUGGUAAAAGAAAAGUAUGAUACAGAUUUUUAUAUUCUUGAUAAAUAUCCAUUGGCUGUAAGACCUUUCUAUACCAUGCCUGACCCAAGAAAUCCUAAACAGUCCAACUCUUAUGAUAUGUUCAUGAGAGGAGAAGAAAUAUUGUCAGGAGCUCAAAGAAUACAUGAUCCUCAGCUGCUGACAGAGAGAGCUUUACAUCAUGGAAUUGAUUUGGAGAAAAUUAAGGCCUACAUUGAUUCCUUCCGCUUUGGAGCUCCUCCUCAUGCUGGUGGAGGCAUUGGUUUAGAACGAGUGACUAUGCUGUUUCUGGGAUUGCAUAAUGUUCGUCAGACCUCCAUGUUCCCUCGUGAUCCCAAACGACUGACUCCUUAAAGGAAGCCACACUCGUAAUUCUUUCCAGUAACCUGCUAUUGAACAGGCUAUACCUUAGUUCAAUCUGCUGGUGCUUGAGGAUUUCUCUAGACUUCGAGUUGUAUUUGUUAUCUACUGCCCAAGUUUCUCAAAAUUCAUAUAUACCUGGAUUAAAAGAAACAUUUUUAUUUUGCCAUCUUCUGCCAAAUGUCAACAUGUACACAUAAGACUGGUUAACUCACCACUUAGAGUAGCCCUUUGUUCACUGUGUGAUAUCUUACAUUACCUCAUCAGUAUGACAGAACCCACAUCACAUCACAGAACCCAUAGCCCCGGUGUUCUGACUCUCUCCGGAUGGAUGCAUCUGUCAUGUCUUCCCUUUGCUCAGCCAUAAAAUGUCCUUUCAUCUCUUGAGACCCUGGCAAAGCUCCUUCAACCCUCUUUCCCCAGGCCUGCUUACAGGAAUGACUCUUCUGCUCCCAAAGCUGCUCAGGAUCUUCCAAGUACUCACCUAUCCAAUUGACUAUACUGCAGGUUGUUCAAUCCAUAAAAAACUUGACCGUCUUACUAUCAAGACCACAUGGUUUUGCACCUAAUUUUUCUCUAAAAUUCCUGUUACUUUGUUUCUUCAACUGGGUUAAAACUGAGUUUUAAACAAUUUGGUAUAGCAAUGUGGAAUCAGAAUACUUUAAGUUCAAAUCUUGACCUGACAGCAGGUGUGUAAUUCUGAGUACAGAAUCUACACCUGUACAGUGGAGUUAACAAUGCCUACCUUGUAACAUUGUAAGGAUUAAAUCAGACAGGUGAAAACUCUCCUACAGUUCCUGGCAUAUAAAAUGUAUUCACUGAACAGGUAUUAUUGUUAAUGCUAAGGGCAGGGACCACAUCUUAAACUUUUUAUAGUCCCAUAUUCAUAGCAUAAUAAUGAGUAUAUGGCAUGUACCUAAUAUAACUUACAAACUGGUUAGUUUCAGGAGUUCAGAGAUGAAGCUGUAAACAAUAAACUCAAGAUAAAAUUUAUUUACACUAGCAGUUUUAGUUUUAUAUUCACAUCUGACUUGUUCUGUGUACCUUUAAAUCUGGCAAUAUGUGUAUAUAUUUACUUGAAAGACCAAAAUAAGAACCACAAGCCUUUAAAAAUAAGCUGUCUUGCUAAGAGAGGUAGCCACCAGUUUGCGAAGUCUUAACAGUUUUCCUCUGUGCUCUUCCUUCAAAUCCUUAUUUGUAUCUUGACCUAAUUAAAAUGAGCCACCAGGCUCUUGGUUGCUGC